UCCAAUGACAUUCACAAGCUAGAUACCAGC
rnacentral:piRNA from 2 species